AUGUUCAUAGUGGGUUUUCUCAAGUACGGGGAGAGGGUGUGGGCUCUCCAAAGAGGCAGCAAUGGCAAUUUUGCUUUGUUGAAAGUUUACAGCAAAACUUCUCAAGAACGGGCUUACGUCUUGAAGACCAGAGCUAAGAUGGAUAGAGAGGAGGAGAUCCUAUUCGACGCUCAUUACAUGUUCCAUUUUUGUAUGGGUGCAUUUAUCAACGUCAGCCUCGAAAGGUGGUCCACCGACGCUGUUCUCAGUUAUUUAGACCCCGUUCUGCCUCUGCCGUAUGAAUUCAACAUGGACAUGUAUGACUUGGUCGAGGCGGAGCUCUCCCUUCUGUACGACCUGUUUUACACUAAGGCGCAAGUGGUUCACAGUUGGCCAGGCUACUUGAUCCGUGCCAUCUCACUGCUUGGCACGGUGAGCGCAUUCUUGUUGUUCCGUCUCGACGACGGUAAAGGUGCUCACAGCAGAGUAGAUGUCUCCAUCAGUUACAUGCUAUUGGUUGGGGCCAUCGUUCUGGAGACCACAUCAGUGUUUGCAAUUGUAGGAUCAACAUGGACGUGCGGCUACUUGCACUGUCAGGGAUGGAACAGAACUAAUGCUAUGGUUUUGUGCAUUCGGCGACUUAUCCAAGUGGGAAGCCAAAGAAAAUGGUUGCACUCCAUCGGGCAACGUAACGUGUUGGAUUACUGCACCCGUAACCAAACCGAUUGGAUGAACAGGAUUGUAGAGGCAACUGUACUUAAAAAGUGGCGGAGAAAGGUGAAAUUCUCAGUCAGUACAAAGAUCACGAUGAAGUUCAAGGAACUAGUGUUGGGACAGGUACGGAGAACAAUGACUCAUUAUUCUGAGACAUGGACUAUUCUGGAUGCACCGGGAAAAUGUGUGCUAACGGAAUACAGGCUCUUGGAUGACAUGGGCUUUUCUAUCAAGGACAGGGAUUUCGCCCAUUGCAUUCUCAUCUGGCAAGUAGCAACUGACAUUUACCUUUGUUGUUGUGAUGACAACCAGCAUCAAAGAAGGUGCCUCAAAGCUGAAGAGGACGAUAAAGUUCUUGUAGAUGCAAUAAAGGUAUUAUCUAAGUACAUGGGUUUUCUAAUGAUACACCCAAGCUUACUGCCCGGCGGAGUUCCAAGCGAUUCUACCAUCAAUAAUUUGGAGAAUCUGUGGAAGGACAGCAAAUGUUCUACUAGCAGUGAGUUUGCAAGGUCAUUACUUUACCAUAAAAGGGAUGAUCGGCCUUAUAUAUCUCUUGCUGGUGAGCUGCUUAGAAACAGAAUGAAUUUGCCGAUGCUGCGAGUCAUCUUCGGGGUGUGGGUGGAGUUCCUGUGCUACGCAUCCUACCAUGGCACCGGCAUUUCCCACUGUAUACAGCUUGGCAGGGGCGGUGAGUUCCUCUCCGUUAUCCGCCUCGUCAUACAUCACAUCCAGCUAUUUCAUCACAAGUAUAGCGAGAGGCUUCCAAGCGACGCUGACACCCUAUAG
rnacentral:rRNA from 1 species